GCAUUAAGUUUGGCCGAAUGUUUGCUAUUAGUUGUGCAGAAAAGUAGUAAAAUGAUAGGUGUAGAAAGAAACAAAAUAAAAGAAAAAUAAGAAAUGAAAUAAAGAACAACAGGGGACCCCUGAACCGGACCGGCCGACCGGAUUGAAACGGACCAGACCGGUCCAAUUCCUUUCUUUCCUCCCUUUCACGCUAGCGAUGGAAGAAGAGCACCAAGAUGGUGCAGCCCCAAAGGGGCGGACAAAGUGGUGGCGCUGGGGGGCUGGCCGGCCGGCCAUCCAGCAGUGACGGCGGCGUAGGCCCCCAUGGUGGUGGUGUUGUUCAAGCUUUUUCUAUCUUCAUCUUCUCCAACCAUUCUUCCAUUUAUGAGUUUCAAGCUUUUUGAGUUCAUGAAGUAAAAAAAAUGCUUUUUCAAACAAGCUCUUCCAAAACAGUAGCAUAAAUCAAGCAACACCACAUACAUAUCCAACUAAAAACAUUCUCACAAGCAAGAACAUGAUUAAUGACAUGGAAUAAAAGACUUCGAGGCUUAUCGACGGAGCAGAGAUUUGCUUCGGUUAUUGUUGAAAUUUUACGGACAAUGUUAAUGACGAGAAACCCGGAAAACUUCAAGAGCAAGGUGAACCCCAUGGCAAAAGAAUGAGCUCGAACCGAUGUCGAAAAGUGGAGAUAGAGGUAUGGAAAGAAUGCUUGAUAGAAGUUGGUUUUUUGUUAGAAAUUUGCAUGUAACAUAAACAUGACAUGAGUCAUUUUCUCAAGAAUGGUGAUGAAUACUUGGUUGAAUCAUUAUGGGAUAGGACUAGAAAAAUUAGGGAUAAUAAAACGAGUCGGUGGUGAACAAUUGAUUGAAAGUCAAUAGUUGACCAAAAAGUCAAUUGUUUGGCCAAAAGUCAAACAUGCCCAAAAAUGUAAAUUUUCUCCUCUUUCCUUGUAGUCCCUUCUAAUGACUUGUAUCCCAAGUGAUUCAUAAUGUAUCUUG